GAUGAACGCUGACAGAAUGCUUAACACAUGCAAGUCAACUUGAACUUCGGUUUGGGUGGCGGACGGGUGAGUAACGCGUAAAGAACUUGCCUCACAGAUAGGGACAACAUUUGGAAACGAAUGCUAAUACCUGAUAUUAUGAUUUUAGGGCAUCCUAGAAUUAUGAAAGCUAUAUGCGCUGUGAGAGAGCUUUGCGUCCCAUUAGCUAGUUGGAGAGGUAACGGCUCACCAAGGCGAUGAUGAGUAGCCGGCCUGAGAGGGUGAUCGGCCACAAGGGGACUGAGACACGGCCCUUACUCCUACGGGAGGCAGCAGUGGGGAAUAUUGGACAAUGGACCAAGAGUCUGAUCCAGCAAUUCUGUGUGCACGAUGAAGUUUUUCGGAAUGUAAAGUGCUUUCAGUUAGGAAGAAAAAAAUGACGGUACCAACAGAAGAAGUGACGGCUAAAUACGUGCCAGCAGCCGCGGUAAUACGUAUGUCACAAGCGUUAUCCGGAUUUAUUGGGCGUAAAGCGCGUCUAGGUGGUUAUGUAAGUCUGAUGUGAAAAUGCAGGGCUCAACUCUGUAUUGCGUUGGAAACUGUGUAACUAGAGUACUGGAGAGGUAAGCGGAACUACAAGUGUAGAGGUGAAAUUCGUAGAUAUUUGUAGGAGUGCCGAUGGGGAAGCCAGCUUACUGGACAGAUACUGACGCUGAAGCGCGAAAGCGUGGGUAGCAAACAGG
rnacentral:rRNA from 1 species